CUGCAUUUUAUCCUUAAAAAUUUUAUUUUUUCUUGUCGAUGGAACUAGUUUCCAAUUGUCGUACAUUAUAGGAAAAUCUUUAAACUUCCUAGCAAUUUCAUCCAAAAAACCGCCUAACAAACCAACAGUUGAUCCUACCGGUUGCCCAUUUGAAUUCCAUCUAGUUAUUAUUCUACUAACAUUAGGAGGAGCUUCAAGCACGUCUGAUACCCAUAAGUGUGUCUUUGAA
rnacentral:lncRNA from 1 species